rnacentral:rRNA from 1 species
UGGGGAAUUUUGGACAAUGGGCGAAAGCCUGAUCCAGCAAUGCCGCGUGAGUGAAGAAGGCCUUCGGGUUGUAAAGCUCUUUUGUCAGGGAAGAAACGGUGGACUCUAAUACAGAUCACUAAUGACGGUACCUGAAGAAUAAGCACCGGCUAACUACGUGCCAGCAGCCGCGGUAAUACGUAGGGUGCAAGCGUUAAUCGGAAUUACUGGGCGUAAAGCGUGCGCAGGCGGUUUGGUAAGACAGAUGUGAAAUCCCCGGGCUCAACCUGGGAAUUGCAUUUGUGACUGCCCGGCUAGAGUGUGUCAGAGGGGGGUAGAAUUCCACGUGUAGCAGUGAAAUGCGUAGAGAUGUGGAGGAAUACCGAUGGCGAAGGCAGCCCCCUGGGAUAACACUGACGCUCAUGCACGAAAGCGUGGGGAGCAAACA